GUGUCAGCAGCCGCGGUAAUACGUAGGGGGCAAGCGUUGUCCGGAAUCAUUGGGCGUAAAGCGCGUGUAGGCGGCCUUGUAAGUCCGUUCUGAAAGCCCGGGGCUCAACCCCGGGAGGCGGAUGGAUACUGCAAGGCUCGAGUACGGAAGAGGCGAGUGGAAUUCCCGGUGUAGCGGUGAAAUGCGCAGAUAUCGGGAGGAACACCAAUGGCGAAGGCAGCUCGCUGGGACGUUACUGACGCUGAGACGCGAAAGCGUGGGGAGCAAACAGGAUUAGAUACCCGCGUAGUCC
rnacentral:rRNA from 1 species